rnacentral:lncRNA from 1 species
ACCACUGCAGUUGAUUGGUUAACACCGUUAAGUGAAUCUGGUUUCCCCCCCCCCCCCCCCCCCCCNNNNNNNNNNNNNNNNCCCCCCCCCCCCCCCCCCCGUGCUCCCACCACCAGGGAAGCUGGCAACCAAGCUGGCCUUUCCUGUGGGGUCCAGCACAGCCCUCUUGCCCAGAGGGGCUCCAGUGACCAAAUAGCCGCUGCCUGUUCCACUUGCAAACAUCAUCUUGUUUUUUCGGGGUUUAAAACCAGUUUCUCACACACCCCCUUUGCUCAGUGUUGCUUCUGGCGUUUGUCCUUCAAGGCUGCCUCCCCGAUUCUCUCUCAACCAGCCGGUCCUGCAGGGCAGUCAGUUACUUUGCAAUUUGAGUUUGUGGUUAAAAGUUGCACUGACCAGGAAGCACAAGGGAGAUGCCACCCCCACCCUGUUGUGAGUCUGAUCUGCAGGAGCGUUGUAGAGCNUUGCACUGACCAGGAAGCACAAGGGAGAUGCCACCCCCACCCCGUUGUGAGUCUGAUCUGCAGGAGCGUUGUAGAGCAACGCCAAGCACAGAGUUCGAGUUCCGCUGGUGCUAAAUGGACUUUGGCUUCUCCGGACUUUGUCCCCAUAACCAAGAGAAGACCGGAGGCCCCCAAGAAGCCUCCAUGCCUUUGCUGGCUGCUGAGAUCCAGGCCUUGCGGGGGGGGGGGAUCCCGGAGCGCAAGGGAGCCGCUUCCUUUAGCACCGCGGAGAGCCGCCGGGUCGCGGGGAGAAGUCCGCGCCGGGCCCCGCUGCCCAUGGAAGGCGCUCCGGCAGGGCAGCGCAGGGUUCCCGCAAGCACGGCCGCCUCCCUUCGCAGGACGCGCUUCUCCGUGGGCUUCGGCCUGCCCUUUUGCACGGCCUCGCCCAGCCCUUCCCCGGAGCGCGGCUGGUUUGAGGCAGCGCUUCUUCCUCCGGGCUUUUGAGGAACGAUCGCAAGGCAGGCAGGCCGCCCACACCCGGGAGGGCGAGUGCAAAAUCCGGGACUGUCGGCUGCUGCUCGGUCCCCAACGCCUCUCCGGCUGCCGCAUCGGGGAAGCCGAGCCCGGUCCCAGCGCCUACGCAGCCGGCACGGAGCUCGGAAGCCGGCGCUCUGCACGCGCGCAGAGGACGCGACCGCUCCUCCCCGCG